GCUUCUGCUAACCCAACUUCAAGGUCGACGCAUCCAGUCACGCUCAAUGAUGGGCAUGGUGACGAUUAGGGUUGCUAAUACGGGAUCCCACUUGGCAAAGCUCCGCUCCAUGUUGACUUUGUGAGGCAGAUGCAAACACAGCCUGAGAGGUGUUUGAAGUUUUCGGAUCCGCUUACUAUUGUGGAGACACAAGUUUCAAGUAGGUUUUGUGCACAUCCAGAUCCAGUUCUUCCAAGCCAUCUGUGCCAGGCAGCUUAACUUUCAUCACCAAUUCUUCACAGCUCAGACUUCCGCAGUCCUUUUCGCUCUACGAUUCAUUGUAAAAACAUGGCAUUGAAACUUCUUGGGAACAAAGGAGAAUGUAAACAGGAAGGCAUGAUGGAAGACUAAAGUAACGAGGCGAGGAGCUUACUCUGGCGUGAAACGAGCCCGGCCAUGUAAUUCGGCAUCCUUGUCAAUGUCGAUUUCAGGUUCCUCCUCUUUGUCUUGUUCUUUCUCUGGAAACCCAACACAAUCAUAGUCUCGCCUGAGAAUAUGAAUGUGAACCUUGAACUAUUCCUGUGUUUACUUGUUAAUUUCCUUCAAGAAUUUAUGAAUUUCUCAA